GUAUAGGGUUCGGAGAGGUUGUUUCUUGACUUAAACCUGACUUAAACCUGCAACCACUAGGUCACAAUGAAGAAACAUUUUCUAUGUUUUUUCUGUAUAAUAAUUGAAUAUUUAUGAUUUUCAUCUAAGAAUACAUACAAUCAUGCAAAAGUAGCAAAUGGUAUCGAGAGAAAACCAGCAUUGGCAGCGGCGGUUGAAGGAGACAAAAUUUUUUUCUAUGAUUGUGGUUUCAUUGGUGUGCAAGAUACCUUGUUUGAUGGUCCUGGUCGACAUUACUACAAGGAUUGCUACAUUGAAGGCGCUGUUGACUUCAUUUUUGGCCAGGGGCAAUCAAUUUACGAGGGCUGCAAUAUAAAUGUAACUGCCGGGCUUACAAAGGCGAUUCCAGGAUAUAUUACAGCACAAAGGAGAUUGAGUUCAUAUGAAUCAACCGGUUUUGUGUUUAAAUCCUGUAAUAUAUUCGGCAGUGGUCCAGUGUAUCUUGGAAGAGCAUAUGGUCCUUAUUCAAGAGUCGUAUAUUAUAAAUGCCAUCUAUCAAGUAUGGUGGCUCCAGAGGGAUGGGAUGCUUGGCAUUACAAAGACAAAGAAGGAGGUUUAAGUUAUGUGGAAUCGGGUAACACUGGUCUUGGUUCAAAUAUUUCGAAGCGUGUUCGGUGGAUAAACAAGCUCAAUGCUAAUCAGGUGGAGAAGCUUGUAUCCAUGUCUUUCAUUGAUGCGGAUUUUUGGCUGGAAAGGAUAUCAAGAUAGAAAACUGCUGGUUCUCUAUUAGAAGGCUCAGGGGUGAUAAACCCAUAAUACUUUCAAGAGGGACUAUUGGUUCUAUUACCAUGUUUCCUUAAUAAUAUAAGAAAAUGAAUUAUGGGUUUAUCCAUUCUUAUCAAUAAGUAAUCAUUUUCCAUUUUAAUUAUAACAACAAUUAUGUGUAUAUGUAAACCCCAGAACAGAA